rnacentral:rRNA from 1 species
AACGAACGCUGGUGGCAGGCUUAACACAUGCAAGUCGAACGCAUCCUUCGGGGUGAGUGGCAGACGGGUGAGUAACGCGUGGGAACGUGCCCUUCAGUUCGGGAUAACCCAGGGAAACUUGGGCUAAUACCGGAUACGUGCGAGAGCAGAAAGAUUUAUCGCUGAAGGAUCGGCCCGCGUCUGAUUAGCUAGUUGGUGGGGUAAUGGCCCACCAAGGCGACGAUCAGUAGCUGGUCUGAGAGGCUGAUCAGCCACAUUGGGACUGAGCCACGGCCCAAACUCCUACGAGAGGCAGCAGUGGCGAAUAUUGGACGAUGGGCGCAAACCUGAUCCAGCCAUGCCGCGUGAGUGAUGAAGGCCUUAGGGUUGUAAAGCUCUUUCGUCCGGGACGAUAAUGACGGUACCGGAAGAAGAAGCCCCGGCUAACUUCGUGCCAGCCGCCGCAGUAA